rnacentral:rRNA from 1 species
AACGAACGCUGGCGGCAGGCUUAACACAUGCAAGUCGAACGCCCCGCAAGGGGAGUGGCAGACGGGUGAGUAACGCGUGGGAAUCUACCUAGUUCUACAGAACAACAGAGGGAAACUUCUGCUAAUACCGUAUACGCCCUAAGCGGGAAGGACUUAUCGGAAUUAGAUGAGCCCGCGUAAGAUUAGCUGGUUGGUGGGGUAAUGGCCUGCCAAGGCGACGAUCUUUAGCUGGUCUGAGAGGAUGGUCAGCCACACUGGGACUGAGACACGGCCCAGACUCCUACGGGAGGCAGCAGUGGGGAAUAUUGGACGAUGGGCGCAAGCCUGAUCCAGCCAUGCCGCGUGAGUGACGAAGGUCUUCGGAUUGUAAAGCUCUUUUGGCGGGGACGAUAAUGACGGUACCCGCAGAAUAAGCCCCGGCUAACUUCGUGCCAGCCGCCGCAGUAACAC